CUUGCUUCUCUUNAGAGCGGCGGACGGGUGAGUAAUGCCUAGGAAUCUGCCUAGUGGUGGGGGAUAACGUUCGGAAACGGACGCUAAUACCGCAUACGUCCUACGGGAGAAAGCGGGGGACCUUCGGGCCUCGCGCCAUUAGAUGAGCCUAGGUCGGAUUAGCUAGUUGGUGAGGUAAUGGCUCACCAAGGCUACGAUCCGUAACUGGUCUGAGAGGAUGAUCAGUCACACUGGAACUGAGACACGGUCCAGACUCCUACGGGAGGCAGCAGUGGGGAAUAUUGGACAAUGGGCGAAAGCCUGAUCCAGCCAUGCCGCGUGUGUGAAGAAGGUCUUCGGAUUGUAAAGCACUUUAAGUUGGGAGGAAGGGUAGUAACUUAAUACGUUGCUACUUUGACGUUACCGACAGAAUAAGCACCGGCUAACUUCGUGCCAGCAGCCGCGGUAAUACGAAGGGUGCAAGCGUUAAUCGGGAAUUAC
rnacentral:rRNA from 1 species